rnacentral:rRNA from 1 species
AUGGCAGCAUACAUGGAAGGAGUGGAGAUUAAGUUCAAGAACCUGCAGCUCUGUGAAGCGGAAAAGAAAGGGAUCAGGAUUGGUAGGAAGCAAGCAUGCUCCUCUCAGGUGAGUAAGAUUCAGGCAGUAGGCAAGCUAUUUGCAGAGAGGCCUGCUAGGGCUGAACAUGUGGGAAGAACUCUAGGGGGAGUCUGGAGCCCAUUGUUUGGGGUGGAUUGCAAAGACUUGGGUAGGAAUAGAUUUCUAUUUAUUUUCCAACAAAAGGCUGAUAAGGAAAAGGCACUAGAUGUUGGACCAUGGAGAUUUAACAAUGACCUAUUGGUGAUGGAAGAUUUUGUGCCAAGUAGAACCAUAGAUGAAUAUGAAUUCAAGACAAUACCUAUUUGGGUUAGAGCUUACGGCAUCCCAAUUGGAAUGAUGAACAGAGAGACAGGAGACUUAGUAGGAGAACAAAUUGGAGAAGUUAUUGAUGUAGACCCAGAUGUUAAUGGUGAUUCAAUGGGGGCAUUUAUGCGGAUCAAAGUUAAAUUAGAUAUCACUAUCCCAAUUAUGAGAUUUAUAACAACGUUCACUGAAGAUGAGGUAGAACAAGAACAGAAAGAUGAAAUGAUUCUUUUGGGAGAUGAUGAAAUGAAAGAAAUAAGAAAUGAGAAGAAAGAAGGGGAGGAAAAGAUUGUCUCAUUCACAUACGAGUAUCUUCCCGACUUCUGUUAUAGUUGUGGAAUUAUUGGACAUACUGAAAAAUCGUGCCCAACUAGAUCUAGAAGAACGGGGUCUAGGCAAUUUGGAUCAUGGCUGCGUGCAAAUAUGUACAAGGGGAUCUCAAGCGAAGAAAGAAGUAGGGCUCCAAAUAAUAAAGGAAAAUUCUAG